rnacentral:rRNA from 1 species
UCGAGAAUCUUCCACAAUGGGCGAAAGCCUGAUGGAGCGACGUUACGUGAGCGAAGACGCCCUUCGGGGUGUAAAGCUCUUUUUUAGGGGAGGAAUCCGCAAGGAUGACAGUACUCUAAGAAUAAGGGGAUCCUAAUUCUGUGCCAGCAGGAGCGGUAAUACAGAAUCCCCAAGCGUUAUCCGGAUUUACUGGGCGUAAAGGGUUCGUAGGCGGCAAAAUAAGUCUUGUGUUAAAACUCAUCGGCUUAACCUUUGAGCUGCUCAAGAAACUGUUUAGCUAGAAGGCAUUAGAAGUUAGCGGAACCGACGGUGUAGGGGUGAAAUCCGUUGAUAUCGUCGGGAACACCAAAAGCGAAAGCAGCUAACUAGGAUGACCUUGACGCUGAGGAACGAAAGCGUGGGGAUCAAAAAGG